rnacentral:lncRNA from 1 species
CUACUCUAAGUGCCUACAAAUAUAGUCAUUUAUCACUCUGCGGCACUAGGAAUGCCAAAUCUGUAAAUUAUGGACCUCCAUAUGAACCAGUAGUUUUUCAUUUGUUGAUAGUGGAAAGAUGUUCAACUUCAACCCAUUUACUAAAGUAAUCCAUAGCUACAAUGGCAUACUUCGCUUAUCCUCUACUGGUUGGCAUUAGGCCUUUGAGAUCAACUUCCAAUACAACAAAUGGCUAUGGCAAAGACAUUACAGUUAGCUUUUUCAAAGCAUGUGUGUCUCCUUAGCGAAUCUUUGGCACUUGUCACAACUUUUGACUAUCUCCUUUCCAUCUUCAUGCAUCGUCGCCCAAUGGUACCUUUGCCUCAAAGCCUUGUAAGCUAAUGACCAUGUCCUAUAGUGAUUACCAUAGAUCCCUUCAUGUAUUUUACUUACUUGCACCACUUGUCUAACAAAUAUUAGUAGCUCAUAUAAUGGAUAUUACUUAUAUCGAUCCUUGACUAAAUAUGAAGAAGAAUACGAUUGAUAUUGAUUUUUUAUUUGAAACCAAUAUCGAAAUGGCUUACAUUGAUCCUAGAUUAUAGAUCAAUAGCCAUAUGUUAAGUCCAUAGAUAACUAAAAACGAUCAAAUCAAAAAAUAUUAACAAUUAGCAGCAUAUAAUUACUAACUAAACAUGUGCUGCGAAUGUAGAUACAAACAAAAAUGGUUAUCAAAGCUAAUAGCAUAAAAAAAAUAAAAGAUGGAUGGUGGAAAUUGAGAUUAAGAAUGAAAUCUAUAGCUAGUGUGUUUCUGGAUCUAUAAAUAGAAGGUAAAAAGAUUGAAAAAAGAUCUUUUGGCUAAUUCAUGAAAAGUUGAUAUAGACCCAAUUCCAAAUAUUCUCCAAACAUAAACACUAAUUGAGGCAUCAAAAUACCUUUUGCAUGUACACACUCGAAUCCAAUUGGUAUAAAUCGCCAAGAACAACAAAUCAACUUUAAAUCUCAUGGGCCAAAUAGGUAUAAUUCACUAUUUGUUCCUGCCUUAAUUGUUUGAAAUCGAAUAAUUAAAGGUUUUAUGAACCUUUAAUUACCAAAUCUUUAAAAAUAAUUGUAUACUUAACAAAAUCAAUAGCAAAAGUCUAUUUUGUCCAUGGGGCUAUAUAAAUAUGUAAAAAGAUGAUUUUGUCUUGUGAAGUGAAAAAAAUGCAAAAUCAAUUAUUUAUAAAAUGUCGUACAACAAACUAAACAAAUAAAAUUAAUCAAGUCAUCAAGUUGAAUAAAUUAAAAGUAAAGAGGAAAAUUGAACGGAAACAAAAUAGAUUACAUAAACAAAAAUAAUUGAGUUAUACAAUUAAUACUGUUUCACCAAAUUUUUGCUAAGAUCUAAUUUAAACUAAUUGGAUGAUUCUUGUGCUAAGCUUGGAUUUAGGUGUUUUUUUCUGAUGCUUAGGACAUGUGAUUUAUCUGAGGUACCCUAGAUGGUAAGCUAAAGUAAUAUGCAAAGUGAUCUCAAGUAGUCAUAUGAGGAAUAAUAAGGGGAACCUAUUACAGCCCUAUAGGAGUUGAUAUGGAGGGCUAGUGUACAAUUAAGAGUAGCUUAAACGUACUCAAAAGAUAGCUCAGGUGGUCUCACAAAAUAUUUAGUGUAAUUGGGUUACCUUAGAUAAGCUCAUAUGUGAAACACAAUCUCGACCACAAAUUGAAAAUAUAAUAAAACAAACAUAAAUAUAAAGGAAUACACAAUAUUUACGUGGUUUGGCUUUUAGCCUAUGUCCACGAGAGCAAGUAAUCACCAAUCUAUUAUAUAAAUAAGAGGUUACAUGAAAUUUUAUAUUAUUUGAGAUAAAUAACAUAUAUUAGAUAGUUAUAUGGAGAUGUUUGGUCUUGAUAAAAAUGAUGAUGGUGAAUAAAGACAUAAAAGUGAUAAUAUAGUGGGGAACAUGAUGAAGGUGGAGAAUAUAAAUGACCUUCAAAAAAUAGAGAAGUGGGUGAUGAUCUAAAAGAUGAAAAGAAAGAAAAAGUAUAUGUGUGAGAGCGAGAAGAAGGGAGGAGAGGAUAGGAGAGGAGACAAAGAGAUGAUAACAUGCCUUAAUAUGGUAAAUAAGACAUUUGUAUAGUGGUUGCUAGCGGCAAGGAAAGUGCACAAAAGUUAAAGCUAGAUGUCACCAUUAGGCUAAAAGAAGAGGAUGUAAAAAUGAUAAGAAUAUUCAUUUUAUACUAGGUUUAUUCUUUCUCAUAAAUAUCUUGAAGCAUCCAACCUUAACAAUUGAUUUCCAAGCACAUCUAAUGUAGUAAAUUAUUCCAAAUGGUAUGUUUAUAAUGCUCUAAGUAUUGUGCCCAUUUUGCCUUGUAAUUGUCCAUGCGUCAUUCAUUUAUUGGUCGAAAAAUAUCGUUCUAAAUUUACAAUUAAAAAAGAUCCCCUAAAUUCUUGGGUGGAAAGAACUAAAGCACAAGAAACUUAAAAAAAAAAAAAAAUUGGACUUGAUGACACAUGGUUGCUUCUAGUUACUAGUUUACUUUUCUUGUAACUCUUUUAUAGUAGGCAAGGUAACCGAAGGAGAUCAUACCCCUCGGGCAAAACAACAAUUGGUAAUAAAUAUCUUUCAUGUAACCUUAUUCUAGAGUUUUCUUAAGUAAAUAAUCAUGGCAAUUUUGUCAGAAGCUUUCAUAGUCCUCUGAUAAUGGCGAUUUAUUUAAGAGCUUUUUAAUCUAUUUGAUCAUGGUGAUUUUCUCAGGAAUUAUCUUAGCCUUUUGAUCAUGGCAAUUCACUCAAGAGCUAUCUUAGCUCUUUGACAUAUGGCAAUAAAAAUAUGGCCAUAAAGCACGACGAUAACUUUAGGCGAUAUACACUAAUUUCAUGGGAGAGGAGUUCUUAAUCCCACAUGUAGGUAAUCUUACUACGGUACCCUCAUGUUGGUGAUUUUUUCAUGGUCACAGCUCUUUAGUAACAAUCAAUNN